UACGUAGGGCGCAAGCGUUGUCCGGAAUUAUUGGGCGUAAAGAGCUCGUAGGCGGUUUGUCGCGUCUGCUGUGAAAACUCGAGGCUCAACCUCGGGCUUGCAGUGGGUACGGGCAGACUAGAGUGCGGUAGGGGUGACUGGAAUUCCUGGUGUAGCGGUGGAAUGCGCAGAUAUCAGGAGGAACACCAAUAGCGAAGGCAGCUCGCUGGGACGGUACUGACGCUAAGGCGCGAAAGCGUGGGGAGCGAACAGG
rnacentral:rRNA from 1 species